rnacentral:rRNA from 1 species
CAGUCGCCGCGGUAAUACGUAGGGGGCAAGCGUUAUCCGGAAUUACUGGGUGUAAAGGGAGCGUAGACGGUUAAACAAGUCUGAAGUGAAAUGCCGGGGCUCAACCCCGGAGCUGCUUUGGGAACUGUAGAACUGGAGUGUCGGAGGGGUAAGCGGAAUUCCCAGUGUAGCGGUGAAAUGCGUAGAUAUUGGGAGGAACACCGGCGGCGAAGGCGGCUUACUGGACGACAACUGACGUUGAGGCUCGAAGGCGUGGGUAGCAAACAGGAUUAGAGACCCCCGUAGUCCCUGUCUCUUAUAC